GUCUGAUGCUCUCUUCAAUAAAUGGAAUUUGCUUAUCACUCAUAUUGAGUGCCUGAGUCUCCCCUCACCGACAAAUGGUCAUCCCCGACAAAGGCCUUGUUUCUGCGACAAGUUUGCACUGGGUUUGAAGGAAUGUGGCCCCUGGGGCAGAAAUCCCUGCACAGAUUCUGUGUCCUCCCGUGGCUCAUCUGAACAGUCCACGGGCUGGGCCUCCUUGUUUCCUUCUUCUCCAGGCUCUGGAUGAAAUCCUUCCUUUCCCAAGGGAGGGGAGAGCCAGCAGGAUGUGAACCAGAGGUGCUGCUUUAGGAAAGCCCCUCCAGCCUGGGCAGGAGCUCCUGGCUCCAGACACGUUCCCAGUGCCCAGGAGCAGCAGGACCUGUGCUGUUCCCAGCAGAGAAAAGCUGCCAAGGAAGAAAGGAAGAGCUUUCCUUGGUGAAAACCUUCCCAGUCCCACGCUGGGUUUGCACACACAGGAGGCUCCAUCCCUGCUGGAAUCCAGUCACAGCCCCCAGAUCAAUGUGCACUUUAAGGUCUCACAGCCCGACCAGGACAAUCUCCUGCCUCUGGACAUGGAAAAUCAGUUUUUCAUUGUUACAGCACCAGCUCCAGAAUCCUCUGAGGCUAAAACAAAGACAGGGAACCUUCUGAGAUAGAACGAGCCAGAGCAAGUUGUUGUGGGAAAGGAAGAUUAAAGAUGGUAAGUGGUAAAACCUUUGUUCAUCCUGACCUCUGUACUUGGCCUCUGUACCUGGGAAUGGGUCAGCUCUGGAAAUUUCCUGGAGACACUGGAGAAUGAUCCCUGGUCUGCUGAAAAGUGGGAAAACCCCACUGGCAAUUGCAGCCCCUGAGGGAGGGCAAAAGGAGCAGGACCUCAGUCUGUGAGUGUGUGAGAAAUAAGGGAGGGACAAAUCUAUGGAUCAUCCUGUGCCUCAGGGCACAAGGAAAAGCCCCUCACCUAAAAACUGAAGUGCUGUUCCACAGGGAGCCUGGGCAUUGAGCUCAUCCCAGCUUUCCUUCCAGAGCUGGAAGAACACCCCACAAUGUUGUUUGAGACAUUCCUGACUGGAACUGGGGCCAGCAGGGCACUUCCCUGUUUUCCUGUAGGAUAUGGGCUGGGACAUGAAUUGGCUCCAGCAGGGCCCAAGAUCACUUGGAAGGGGACCUUCACCCACACUCCCAAAAAGCUGAGAAGGAAGAAUGCCUGCCUGCAGCUGGCUGCAGCUCCUGGAGCUCUGGGGUUUCUGGCACACUCAGGGACAUGGGAUAAUGCCAGAAUCAUUCAAACCUUGGGAAUAAUGGAAUUAAUACCACCCCUUGAGCUCCUGCCCAUUGGCCACUGGCUGCAGAUGGCUGUGGAAGUGAUGGAGGCAUUCAGGGAAUGCUGAUUGUUUUUCCCUCCCUUUGGCAAUCUGGUCAGCAAAAAUACUAAUUGAGCUCUUCCAGCAGGGAAACAUUUAAGCAAGAGGUGUUGAAAAGAAUUGGAGUUUCUGAUUUUAAGUCUCCAACCUUAAGUCCUCUUUGGAUUGUCACUGGUCCAAUUUUCAUGGACUGGUCACCAUGGCCAGGAGUGUCCAAUCCUGCUGGAAAUGCACUGGACCAGGAUGUCAUUUUCAUUUGAUGCUGGUAAAGACCCUCUGGGUGACCCCCAGUCACUGGAAAGACUGGAUUGGGCUCCCAUGGCACCAAUUCCAGGGGUUCUAUUUUUGGGAAUAGCACAGGAGCCGUUCCCUUGCCCAGAGGAGCAGCAAGUGCUUCAAAUCCCCAGGAUGGACCACAGAGAAAAUAGCAGGAAUAUGGAAAUCCCCCACACUGGGAGUUUGUGGUGGUCUGAAUGACUUUUUGGAUUUAUAAUGUUAAAGGGAGGCUGUGGAAUGGCUUAUCUCCUUUUUAUUUUUAUUGUUCUCACUGCUCUU